UACGUAGGGGGCAAGCGUUAUCCGGAUUUACUGGGUGUAAAGGGGGCGCAGACGGCAAUGCAAGCCAGGAGUGAAAGCCCGGGGCCCAACCCCGGGACUGCUCUUGGAACUGCAUGGCUGGAGUACAGGAGGGGCAGGCGGAAUUCCUAGUGUAGCGGUGAAAUGCGUAGAUAUUAGGAGGAACACCGGUGGCGAAAGCGGCUCUCUGGCCUGUAACUGACACUGAGGCUCGAAAGCGUGGGGAGCAAACAGG
rnacentral:rRNA from 1 species